AACGAACGCUGGCGGCAUGCCUAACACAUGCAAGUCGAACGAGACCUUCGGGUCUAGUGGCGCACGGGUGCGUAACGCGUGGGAAACUGCCCUUAGGUUCGGAAUAACUCCCCGAAAGGGGUGCUAAUACCGGGUAAUGUCUUCGGACCAAAGAUUUAUCGCCUUUGGAUGGGCCCGCGUUGGAUUAGCUAGUUGGUAGGGUAAAAGCCUACCAAGGCGACGAUCCAUAGCUGGUCUGAGAGGAUGAUCAGCCACACUGGGACUGAGACACGGCCCAGACUCCUACGGGAGGCAGCAGUGGGGAAUAUUGGACAAUGGGCGAAAGCCUGAUCCAGCAAUGCCGCGUGAGUGAUGAAGGCCUUAGGGUUGUAAAGCUCUUUUACCCGGGAUGAUAAUGACAGUAUCGGGAGAAUAAGCUCCGGCUAACUCCGUG
rnacentral:rRNA from 1 species